GAGGACAUUCGUUUCUACACCAGAUUUGCCACAUACAAGCAUUUCCUUGCCUUUUGGAAAUUGGUGGAGCCAGCAGCCAACACCAAGAUGGUGCGGAUCACCAACGCCAAGGCAUCCUCUGCCAGCAGCUCGGAUUCCUCUCAACCAACAACAACGAAACUUCCACCCAUAGAUGAGCUGCUGCUGUUCCUCAUGCACCUGUCAGUGGGCCUACAUCUGAGGGAUCUAGCAGAACGGUUUGGCAUUCACCGCACCACAGUCAGCAGAAUUAUUUCCACCUGGACACACUUCCUGUACCAACUGCUUGGAAGCCAACGUCUGUGGAUCCCACGCGAAGU